GUGGAAGCUCGUAGCGGUUCUGACGUGCAAAUCGAUCGUCGCACUUGGGUAUAGGGGCGAAAGACUAAUCGAACCGUCUAGUAGCUGGUUCCCUCCGAAGUUUCCCUCAGGAUAGCUGGAGCCCGGCGUGCAGUUUUAUCGGGUAAAGCGAAUGAUUAGAGGUAUCGGGGUCCGAGCGACCUCGACCUAUUCUCAAACUUUAAAUAGGUAAGCACGGGCGGCUUGCUUGCGUGAAGCCGCUCCGGGGAAUGCAGGGGCUCCUGGUGGGCCGUUUUUGGUAAGCAGAACCGGCGAUGCGGGAUGAACCGAACGGCGGGUUACGGUGCCGGAGUUGACGCUGAUCAGAACCCAGGAAAGGUGUUGGUUGAUCCAGACAGCAGGACGGUGGCCAUGGAAGUCGGAAUCCGCUAAGGAGUGUGUAACAACUCACCUGCCGAAUCAACUAGCCCUGAAAAUGGAUGGCGCUGAAGCGUCACACCCACACCCGCCCGUCGCGGCGGCGUCUGGUCGGCCGCGGCGAGUAGGAGGGCGCGGAGGUCACCCAGCGAGCGGAGCAGCCCGUGGCGUGAGCACGGGCGGAGCGGCCUCUGGUGCGGAUCU
rnacentral:rRNA from 1 species